rnacentral:rRNA from 1 species
GACGAACGCUGGCGGCGUGCUUAACACAUGCAAGUCGAACGGAAAGGCCCUGCUUUUGUGGGGUGCUCGAGUGGCGAACGGGUGAGUAACACGUGAGUAACCUGCCCUUGACUUUGGGAUAACUUCAGGAAACUGGGGCUAAUACCGGCUAGGAGCUCCUGCUGCAUGGUGGGGGUUGGAAAGUUUCGGCGGUUGGGGAUGGACUCGCGGCUUAUCAGCUUGUUGGUGGGGUAGUGGCUUACCAAGGCUUUGACGGGUAGCCGGCCUGAGAGGGUGACCGGACACAUUAGGCCUGAGAUACGGCCCAGACUCCUACGGGAGGCAGCAGUGGGGAAUAUUGCACAAUGGGCGGAAGCCUGAUGCAGCAACGCCGCGUGCGGGAUGACGGCCUUCGGGUUGUAAACCGCUUUCGCCUGUGACGAAGCGUGAGUGACGGUAAUGGGUAAAGAAGCACCGGCUAACUACGUG